rnacentral:sRNA from 1 species
UUGUAGCAUGCAGCAGAUUGGAAUAAAUAUGAUGACCGAUUGAUGAAAGCAGCAGAAAGGGGGGAUGUAGAAAAAGUGUCCUCAAUCCUUGCUAAAAAGGGGGUCAAUCCAGGCAAACUAGAUGUGGAAGGCAGAUCUGUCUUCCACGUUGUGGCCUCAAAGGGGAAUCUUGAGUGUUUGAAUGCCAUCCUUAUACAUGGAGUUGAUAUUACAACCAGCGACACUGCAGGGAGAAAUGCUCUUCACUUGGCUGCUAAAUAUGGACAUGCAUUGUGCCUACAAAAACUUCUACAGUACAAUUGUCCCACUGAGCAUGCAGACCUGCAGGGAAGAACUGCACUUCACGAUGCAGCAAUGGCAGAUUGUCCUUCUAGCAUACAGCUGCUUUGUGACCAUGGGGCCUCUGUGAAUGCCAAAGAUGUAGACGGGCGGACACCACUUGUUCUGGCUACUCAGAUGAGUAGGCCAACAAUAUGUCAACUGCUGAUAGAUAGAGGAGCGGAUGUUAAUUCCAGAGACAAACAAAACAGAACUGCCCUCAUGCUAGGUUGCGAAUAUGGUUGCAGAGAUGCAGUAGAAGUCUUAAUUAAAAAUGGUGCUGAUAUAAGCUUGCUGGAUGCGCUUGGCCAUGAUAGUUCUUACUAUGCAAGAAUUGGUGACAAUCUGGACAUUCUAACCUUGUUGAAGACUGCAUCGGAAAAUACCAACAAAGGGAGAGAACUUUGGAAGAAAGGACCAUCUUUGCAACAGCGAAAUUUGACACACAUGCAAGAUGAAGUAAAUGUGAAGUCACAUCAGAGGGAGCAUCAAAAUAUUCAGGAUUUGGAGAUUGAAAAUGAAGAUUUGAAAGAGAGGUUGAGAAAAAUUCAGCAAGAACAAAGAAUACUUUUGGAUAAAGUCAAUGGUUUACAGUUACAGCUGAAUGAGGAAGUUAUGGUUGCUGAUGAUCUGGAAAGCGAGAGAGAGAAGCUGAAGUCCCUUUUGGCAGCUAAAGAAAAGCAACAUGAAGAAAGCUUAAGGACUAUUGAGGCUCUGAAAAAUAGAUUUAAAUAUCUUGAGAGUGAUCAUUUAGGAUCAGGAAGUCAUUUCAGUAACCGUAAGUAUAAAAGUAUGAAUUAUCAUUACAGUUCACCUAGUUCAAGCAAAGAAGAAUGUUUAUUCUUACUUGUUUAACUAUACGGGA